UUUUUUUUUAAUGUAUAUAAUAUAUAUAAUAUAUAUAUAUAAAUAUUAUUUAUAUAUGUAUAUAUAUUUUUAAAAUAAUAUUUUAUUUAUAAAUAUAUUUAUUAUAUAAUAUUUUAUAUUCAGUAAUUUAUUUAUAUAGUAUAAAAUACAUAAUAUUAUUAUAUAUUAUAUUAUAUAUUUAAUUAUUGCAUAAUAUAUUUUAAAUAUAUUUUAUUUAUAAAUAUAAAUUAUAAUACUAAUAUAUAUAAUAUGAUAAUAAUUAUAUAUUAAUAAUAUAAAAAAUGUAAAAUAAAAAAAAUAUAUAAUAUUUUUUUUUUUUUCCUACAAAUCAAAUAUAAACAACGUAAAAUAUUUUUUAAAUUAAAUUUUUUUUUUCAUAGUUUUACAACCAAACACACCUAAAGUUAUGCCACAUUUCUU
rnacentral:lncRNA from 1 species